AUGGCAGGUAGCAUCAGGCGAGGCCGAGAGCGCCGGCUCCCGCUCCAGCCCAGCGCGGCCCCUGGCCAAACCGCCGGGGGUCUCUGACAGUACCCCAACUCCAAAGAGCCUUCUCCUCUCCAAGUCCCCAGUCCUCGGCCCCGCGGGGCCUCCUGCUCGCUCUCCCGGGACCAUUUCUGUCGCCAGCGGAGGAGCAGGUGCCAGCGUAACAGCUCUCAAUAAACAAAGUACAUCCAAAAGGAAGACCUCUUCAAGUUCUUUACCCUGAAGAUGCGCAGCUAUAGUGAUGGACCCCCAGAAUUUCAAUGAAUAAGCCUACAAUGACUUUGAAGUCCCCAGAAGUGCUCAGUGACUCAGAAAAAUUGGUUCUUGAAAAUUACCACCAAGGGGAAAACUUCACUGUGUCUCUUCCGGCACCCUCCUUGCUGCAUCGUGCAUCCCCCACCAUCCCCGACUCUACCUGCUUUCUACCUGCUUCCACGAUGACCAGUGGAAUAAAAAAAUAUCGCUGAGGCCU